GUCCAUGCCAUCGUUGUAAUCUGAAUGUUAAAGGGAGAUGAUUUUAACAUUCAAAGUCUGAGAAUGAGAAUUUCUAGAUUAUACCUACUUCUGAUCUCAGUUUAGUCCAGCAACUACACCCCUGAAGGAGAGAGGACAGAUGUUUUUAUCCUCAUUUUAGCAAAGGGACUGCCAGGGAGCAAAGCUCCAUGAUUCACCUAAGAAGCCUCAGGAGAGGAAACAGGAACAGAAGGAAGCUCCCAGCUCUUCCCGCUGUCCUUUGUGUGGCUCCACCUCCCUGGAGUGUAGAUUCACUACGACCUGAGGUCAUGGAAGCUGAGGACCCAGAACCGACCCAAGCCAUUCAAACCAAAUUGGAUACAUCCUACUUUGUAUGGCAGAGCCUGGCUAGUUGUUCACCAAGCCUGUGUCGCCUUCCUCCUGGUUCAGAGCUAGACUACAUUUCCCAGUCUCCUUGCAGUUGGUAUGGUUACGUGAUGAAGUUUUGGCCAGAAGAAUGUGGGUAAAAGUAGUAUGUGCAACUUCCCAGCCCGCCCUCCUCGCCAAACCUCCCACAUGUGGUCCUCCAUGCACUUUCCUCUUUGGCAACAACCUUGGAAAUCCCUUCUUGAAGAUACAAGCCACAAGAUGGAAGGAGCCUGGAUCCCUAAGUCACUACCUGGAGGGCUGCCUGUGGAUCAGAAACACCUGUGGAAGAGACUGGAAUCUGUAGUAACCUGGGAGGAAAGCAGAUAGCAGGAUGGCUGGGGAGGAAGCUG
rnacentral:lncRNA from 10 species